rnacentral:rRNA from 1 species
UGGGGAAUAUUGGACAAUGGGCGCAAGCCUGAUCCAGCCAUGCCGCGUGAGUGAUGAAGGCCCUAGGGUUGUAAAGCUCUUUCACCGGUGAAGAUAAUGACGGUAACCGGAGAAGAAGCCCCGGCUAACUUCGUGCCAGCAGCCGCGGUAAUACGAAGGGGGCUAGCGUUGUUCGGAUUUACUGGGCGUAAAGCGCACGUAGGCGGACUUUUAAGUCAGGGGUGAAAUCCCGGGGCUCAACCCCGGAACUGCCUUUGAUACUGGAAGGAUUGAAUAUGGUAGAGGUGAGUGGAAUUCCGAGUGUAGAGGUGAAAUUCGUAGAUAUUCGGGAGAACACCAGUGGCGAAGGCGGCUCACUGGGCCGUUACUGACGCUGAGGUGCGAAAGCGUGGGGAGCAAACAGG